rnacentral:siRNA from 1 species
CGAAAAGGUAUCACAUGCCAAGU